rnacentral:lncRNA from 1 species
CCCAAAUCAGGUUCUCUCCAAAGUCUCAGCUUCCUCCCUUCUUCCUCUCACUUCCACCUCUCACCUCUGUUUUUAUUUGGAUCCAACUUGAGUUCUGGUUUUUGUGCAUGGCUGAUCCAGAACUUACUUUCUGUAGGGUUACAGUGACUGGGACUCAGCUGUCACUGCUCAUCCGGCAAGCCCAGAUGGGAUGAGACGUGGCCAAGAGUCUAGUUAGUUGAUUGUUUCAUCUGCUUGGUCUCUGACCUCCAGGAGUACCAUGUGAUCAUCUGUGACACAAAGAGUGGCCCUUUCAGAUGUGAGUGGUGAUGUGCACAGCUCUUGUCUAUCCUUCACCUGUAACUGACUCUUUAGGAGAGGAGCUUUGUCGUCGUUGUACAUCUGACUGCACAUGAUCAAGUUUGAUCUUCACCAUGAAUCAAGUGGGCUGAGCUGGUAACAUGAAGUGAAGAAGCCAUGACAAAGGUGGGAGAUACUGAGAAGACAGGAGGUAUGACAACCAAGUGACAGCAGAGACUGUGGUAGCUGCCAGCAGCGAUGGCAGAGGUGAUGGAGAUGCCAGCAGUGGGCAAAAGCCAUCCCUGACAUCACCCCAGCAGCAGCUGCAGCAGGAGCAGCCACAGGAUAAGGUGAAAAUUCCCCAAGAAGCCACAGCCUGGGAACAACGGAAAGAAAGAGACGAGAGGGAACUGAGGCCAAAGAAGAAUAAAAGGCUGCACAGGGCCUUGGUUGCUGACAGAACUGCAGAUGGCUGCCCUGUUGUCUUGGGCGCUCAGACCCACUCUGAUAUCUAAGGCUGCAAAAGAGCCACAACCAUUUGUCACUAUAUAGCUGAAGAACCCAGUGCCUAAGGUCUGCAAUAGACUAGGACCCUAGAGGGCACCACCUGCCGCAGCUUCCCAGCUAUCUGUCAUUGCUGCUCAUCCUCUCCCCUCCCAGCAGGGAGCACAGCCAGCUGAUUGGCUGCACAGCGGGAGGGACACUGUCUGUCUGCCGGGCUCUUCAUUCCCUGAAGGCCUCUCAUACUCUAGAAAAUGAGGCCUUGGAAACCUGACUGAUCUGAUUAACACACGCCUCCAGUGAACCUCACAAUAUCCGAAGGAAACACUGAUUUGAAUCUUUCCUCUAAACACAGCAGAAAUUAUCCAUCAAUUCCCAAGAGCCUUUGAGUUUAGGAAUAAACCAGGCCACUCAUGUUCUGUCCUUGGCACUGACUUUGUACAAGGACAGUAAAGGCCACACGUGGGGGCUGGGGCAAGGGCAGAUAUAGGGCCCUGUGAGAGGGAGUUCUCUCCAGGAAGUGGGGAAAGCUGAGGCUUCUCUGACAGGAAUAUUAUUUAACAAAUACCUUGUGGCCACUGUGAGAUAGUGGAACAUAAAAUAACCCGAGACAGUGUGACAGGGUUUUCCACUCUAAGUUAAGAGGUGUGGGAGCCAGAGCAAUCAGCAAAUUCACCGUCUGCUACUCUGUUCUGUUAACAAUACAAGAGGAAAUUCCAGUUGCUUUUAAAAACUUUACAAAUCCUGAUUUUUCUUGCUGUUUUUUUAAAAAAAGGUUUAUUUAUUUUUUAUUGUAUGUGUAUGGGUGCUUGUCUGUGUGUAUUUCUGUGUACCAUAUGCCUGGAGCAUCCAUGGAGGACAAAGGAGGUAGUCAGAUUUCCUGCAACUGGGAUUACAGAAGGCUGUGAGCAGCCACAUGGGUGCUGGGAACUGAACCCUCGUCCUCUGUAAGAGCAGCCAGUGCUUUAACCACUGAGCCAUUUCUCUAACCCUCCUAAUACAUUUUAAAAUCAAGAUCUGGGGGACUGGGGAGAUGGUCACUCGAUGCUAUUGCAGAGGACCCAGCUUCAGGAUCCAGCACACACACGGUAGCUUCACUGCCAUUCAUA